UAUUGUCGCUCCACUCCGCCUUUUAUUUUCACACCACUCAGCUCCACUCCACUCCACAAAAUAUUAGCUCCACUCCACCAAAAACUAGGAGCUCCUCGAGAGGUGCUCCACCAAAAUAUGAAGCUGGUGGAGUUGGAGAAUAUUAUCCACCUGCCAUUGAUUACACACUAUCCAUACUCUUUUAUACAAACAAAUAGAAAAAGUCAACAGUCUCAAAGUGCUCCCCGCCGCCGCUGCCACCUCGGGGCUCUGCUCUGCCGCCCCUCGCCGGGGCUCGCCGCUGCUGCCGGGCCUCGAGGCCGCCGCCGCCUGGGCUCGCGGCUGCCAGGCGCCAGCCACCGCGGCUCGCGGCCUUCGCCCCAACCUGGAAGCAACGGCCGCCUCCAGGCCGCGGCCUACACGCCCUCCAGGCCGCCCACCGGGGCCCCUCCCACCGCGGCGCCUCCCGAAGGGCUGAAGUGGUCCCUCCCGCGGCGAGCAGACCACGGCGGCGCUCGCCGGCCCUGUCCAGGCGGUGACGCUGGCCUGCUGCAGGAGCUAGCGGCGCGAGGACGGCAAAGCGGGAGGCAGGGAUGGGGCCGGUGAGCUCCGCCUGGACGGGGAGGCGGUGUGCCCUGCCGCCGCCUGGCCCCCCUCGUAACGACGCUCCGUCCGAUUUCAGUCUAGAUUAGGAUAGAAAAUGAGUAGGAAGAAGAAACCGACACACGGGACCCACGUGGAAGUGAGGUGAGAGGCGGCCGGGCCAACUCGACCCUAGUUGGGCUGUUCGGAUAUGUGUUGGGCUAGCAGGGUAUAAAGAGUUGUGUCUAGUGGGCUGUUCGGAUAUCUGUUAGAAUUGUACAGUGGAGUGCUCGGCCUGAAUGUCCAGACACUCCACCUCCACCUGACCCAAACCCAACCCGUUGCCGUCCUUACCCGCCGCCACCGGUCACCGCUCCGUCCCAAUGGCCGCCCCCGCCGCCGCCGCUCGCCGCCUACUGCGUCCGUCGUCCUCCGUCUCCGUAUCCAACACUAGCCGGCUCCUCUCCACGGCUUCGCCGCCUCCUCACCGCAGCCCCUACACUAACUCACCCGUCGCCUUCGAUUGGUCCGAUGACGACGCCGACAACCCCACGAUACCUCCACCGCCGUCCCCGGCAAAGAAUCCCGAGCUGCCUCCCCCGUACGACCCCUUUAGCAAGAAGCCCGCCCUCUCUGAGCCUUCCGACCCCACCAAUCUACAGGAGAUCUUCCACCGGAUGCGCACCGAGGGCCUCACCGACUACGCCAUCAAGAUGUUCGAUGGAUUGUCCAAGGACGGGCUGACCCACGAGGCGCUCGCGCUCUUCGCGGUCAUCAAGGACAAGGGCACCAUGCCCGACGUCGUCGCACAUACUGCCGUCCUCGAGGCCUACGUCAACGCCGGCCCCGCUCACUGGCGCGACGCCGUGCGCACCUACGACCGCAUGCUCGCGAACGGCGUCAAGCCCAACGCCUACACGCUUGCCGUGCUCGCCAGGGGGCUCGCGGCCAGCGACCGGUUCUCGGAGGCCGGGAGGUACCUGGUAGAUAUGCUCGACCGCGGGAUGCGGCCGAAUGUGGCGACGUACCUGGCCGUGUUCGAGGCGUACGUGAGGAUGGAAAAGGUGGAGGAGGGGCAGCUGCUGCUGGAGACGAUGAAGGGAAAGGGCUUCAUGCCAGACGAGGAGGCGGUGCGCAGGGGCAUGGUGAAGCGCGGGCAUGUGUUCAGGGGUGUCAUGAAUUUACUCUUUGGCAAGUGAUUGUGGUACGUGCUGCUUCCUCAUGUUGGAAACGUUUCAGUCAAAGCGUUUGGUAAUGAUUCUUCAAGAUUUCAGAUGCAAUGAAAGUAUGAUGCUAGCCUUUUGUUACCUUGCGAAUAGUGUCUUGAGUUUUUUUAUUUAAUUGCAAUGCAUAUUAUGCACUGUGGAGCUUGUUCUAAUCAAUCAUCAGAAUGUCGUGAGACAAGAUCUAAAUGAUGAAUGGAAAAAUUUGCAAUAUCUCUUAAUUUGUUCUUUGUUUUGUCAUACCAUUUUUCAGAGUAACUGUAACUGGCAAUGAUAAAGGCUGAUCUUCUGGAUUAAAUUGUCCUACAGCCCCAAUGCAUUGCAUCAUUUGUCUUCUGGAUAUUUGCAGACUAGAACUUGACCCAAAAGGAUGAAACAAAUCAACAUUUUUCCCGUCGCGCAGACCCUUUUUCUAUAAAGCUUGCUGGCGUACACUGACAUAGUUUUACCAAAGAAGCAUGGGAUGAAUUCACUGCUAUACCGCUUCAACCAAUUGUAUUCCAAUUAAUUUACCUUCUUUGUGAUGUCAUAUCUAGCCCAGUUUGUGUCUUACACAUAAUUGCCAUUGAUGCAUUUUGAUACUGUUUUGGGCACUGUUUAUUGGGGAGGGAGGAGGAGGUGGGCGCUUAGGCUUGCUUGAAGGCAAGAGGGAGGGAGAAGUUUGAAACCUAGAAAAUAGAAGGGGCAUAGACCUUUUCUUCUGCUUAACGAACCACGAUGCAUCCCCUCUUUUUAUAUAGAGGAAGGUGACUUAACCAUAAGUAUGUUAUAGAUGGGAUCUUAGAGAUGUGUUCUGAUCUUUCCUAACUUGCAUGAGUUGAACUUCCUAAUUAUUGAUGAGUUAACUUGGGUGGCAAGGCGAUAAGGGAGCUGGUGGUGUCAUGAGGUGACGUGCUGCCUGCACAGUGCACACCCUUCCCCUGGUGGUAAAUUGGGUGGGCCUAAUUGGCCCGUAACAGGUGCUUGAAGUUUUGACUUUGGCUUUGCUCAAUAAUAAGUUUGGAUAUCUGUCACUUAGUUUAGACCUGUAGAUUUGAUUCACACAAGGAUUGCAACAUACAUUGUAUCCUAGUGCUGCGUACUGUUGCACAAUAUAAGUUUGAGAUAAAUGCAUAGCGCAGCAUUAUGAAAUAUUUCAAUUCCAUUCUCAAGAAAGGUAAUCAUAUAAUGGUACAAGAAUUUAGCCCACAUUCUGGUGCGCAAAUUGGAUGUACUUGAUCACAGAAAGAGGCUCUUUGACGUGGUGACGUGUGGAGUAAACAAUUACUGUAACUGCCAUUUGAUGCUUCAUCAUUUUAGAUUAAUAAAUAUGUAAUUUCCAUGAUUUAGUGAGCUUUCCGUUGAAUCUAACAUCAUCAUGUUCAAAAAGAACCAAAAUGAUUAUUUUUUUUCUAUUCUCAAAGACCAUAAAAAGCAAGCAGGCUAGGCAAUAUUCAGAACUAAGAAAUUAUGGUUUAGGCCCACAUGUGAUGCACCGACCUGUAUGAGUGAGAAUGAAGCAGGGCCAAGUUGCGGACAAUUUGUUACUGGUUUGUUAAGCUGCGGUAGUCGCUGUUUUAUGUAACCAGUGAUCUUUAGGGCAGUGAGAAAUAUGGGCUGGAAUUCUUAUUUUGGGCUUAGUUUGUCAGGUUUCUUAGUUGACCAACUUUAAUAAAUCAAAUGGGAUCAAUGCUGAAAGCCAUUUCUAGCUGUUAGCCUGUGGGAUAAAGCUAUACUGUUCUAUACUUAGAAUUUUGAAGCCUGUGUAGCGAGGUCACUGAGGCACUUAUGUAGUCAUGUGUGUUCUUAUGAUGUUGUGGAAGUAGAAGAUAAUUCAUGCUUAUUUCUAGGCAUUAUACUCUAUUUAUAAGUGUAAAACGAACAGAUUGGAGAAACCCCUCAUUUCAAUUAAACAAUAAAAAAGGGACUGGUUCUUGUGGCUUUAAUUUUUUAGUAUGUUGGGAACAGGGCACUGUACUGUUGCUGACAGGUAGGCUAUUCAACCUCCCAAGUACUAAACCACCUGAGUUGAGUCUUAGGACCAGCUCAAGUGCUCUUGUCCUUUACUGAAUGCCAACCCCUGGUCAUGUUUUUGGAAUAAGGUGAGGUUUUCUAUGUACAGUGCUGUUGUUGAUACAAAAUGCUGAGAACUAAAUUAGAAGCACAAGUCUGGCUUCCCAAACAAAAAACUAGGAAUUAUGUACGCUAAAUUGGAACUAAAUUUCCAUGUGUUCAUCCCAAACAGCAAAACUGGCUUUUAGUUUGUGUCCAUGUAGGUAAAACCAGGAAUUAUGGGCAACAAAAGGUGAAAAGUAAUAUGUUUUAAGGAACAUAAUUUCCUGUUUAAACCCAAGUUCUGAAAUAGUCAAUUUAUUAUUUGUCCUGGGACCAUAUUGAGAUUGUGCACAUCUUGAGCUGUCUUUAAACAGUAUAUAUAUUUUAUAGAUAUCAAAGGUAAAGGUAACUUUGCUUUUCAUUGGCAGUUCUAUUGCAUUCUGUUUAACUCUACUCUUGAAAUUGAAAUGAAACCAUAGUGUAGUAGUUUUGGUACAUUCAUAAUUUGUUACAAAAUUGUUCUGAGUUGCGGUUUCCGAUAUGGUAUUAUGACUCUUCUUGCUUGACAGGGAAUUGGUCGAGCAAUGCCAUCCCAACUACUGCCUCCAGCAACCACUGGUCACGAAAAAUCCCAAAAUAGAUGCUAGGCAAAUAUGAAUCCACCGUUUGGUCCUUGAGGAGGCAUGGAUCAUUGUUCAUUAUGACUGUUUCUGCUCGAUACUGUCAAAAUAAACUUGCCAUUUUCUGCAUAUGCAUCUGAAACACUUUCUGCUGACUUUUGUUUUAAUUGCUAUGAGGACAAUGCGCCUGAUUCUGCACAUUGAAGGCAGAAGGAAAUAUUUGAAUCUGGUAAGUGGUAACAAGAAGAGUAUUUGAUUGAUUGGACGAACGAAGUUUCACCGUCUCCGGCAAAGCAUCAGCAGCUGCACAGCUUGCACCCCGCAGCCCAAAUUCAGGGGCAGAUAGCUGGGCUGCUGCAGCAAUCACUACGGAACGCUUCUACAGUGCGAACUUAUCAGACUGCAUGGAACUCACUCAUGAACCUGGAAACAAGUAUGAAUUGCCGCCAAUCAGAUGCGCCUCCACCCUACACUGAUUUUGUUGUCUAGAGGUUCUGUCAACGCCCCGGAGUGUUUAUCUCUAGAUUCGACUGCUUCUCUUGGGGAUCGGAUUCAAUUUAGUGUCUGCUCGUCAGUAUAUAUGCAUUGCAUGAUAGAUCUCGACUGCUACAAAGUGAUGUGCUGAAAGGGAAAGGCUGUAUGGUGAUGUCGAUAUGGGGAUGUCCUUCAGCCGCUGUGACACAGGAGACAUGGACUCCUGACUGGUGAAUUUGGGAUAGGGGCAACCGUCUAUAUAUAUGCUUUUUGUUGUACUAUCAUUUUCUUCAAACUCCUGUGGUUCUUGCUUGAAGAGAUCACGACGACCCAUGAAAGUAUUUAUUUAGAGCAAAGAGUUGCUCGGCAUUGCCUAA